CCCAGACUCCUACGGGAGGCAGCAGUGGGGAAUAUUGGGCAAUGGGCGCAAGCCUGACCCAGCAACGCCGCGUGAAGGAAGAAGGCUUUCGGGUUGUAAACUUCUUUUGACAGGGAAGAGCAGAAGACGGUACCUGUCGAAUAAGCCACGGCUAACUACGUGCCAGCAGCCGCGGUAAUACGUAGGUGGCAGGCGUUGUCCGGAUUUACUGGGUGUAAAGGGCGUGUAGCCGGGCUGACAAGUCAGAUGUGAAAUCCGGGGGCUCAACCCCCGAACUGCAUUUGAAACUGUUGAUCUUGAGUACUGGAGAGGCAGACGGAAUUCCUAGUGUAGCGGUGAAAUGCGUAGAUAUUAGGAGGAACACCAGUGGCGAAGGCGGUCUGCUGGACAGCAACUGACGGUGAGGCGCGAAAGCGUGGGGAGCAAACAGGAUUAGAUACCCGUGUAU
rnacentral:rRNA from 1 species